rnacentral:rRNA from 1 species
GGACCCGCACAAGUAGUGGAGCAUGUGGUUUAAUUCGAAGAUACGCGCAGAACCUUACCAACACUUGACAUGUUCGUCGCGACUUUAAGAGAUUAAAGUUUUCGGUUCGGCCGGACGAAACACAGGUGCUGCAUGGCUGUCGUCAGCUCGUGUCGUGAGAUGUUGGUUAAGUCCCGCAACGAGCGCAACCCUCACUUUUAGUUGCCAUCAUUUAGUUGGGCACUCUGAAAGAACUGCCAGUGAUAAGCUGGAGGAAGGUGGGGAUGACGUCAAGUCCUCAUGGCCCUUACGUGUUGGGCUACACACGUGCUACAAUGGCUAGGACAGACGGCCGCAACCGCGAGGGGGAG